UCUCUCUCUCUCUCCUCCCUUGAUUUCUUAUUAAUCUGUCCUUUUAUGAGUUUAAAAGCUAUUUGAUUCAAAGCAAAUUUCCAUUAACGAUUUAACAUGUUUUUUCUUCUUAUAUGAAUCUUAAUAAUGGGUUCUGUUUCUUCUUAUGCAGGAUUUAAAAGGAAACUAUGAUUUACUAAACACACAAAUCUGAUAGAAUUUUUCUGAAAAGGAUCAGGAACAUCCGGAAGUAUAAGAGACAAAGUCUACUAAUAUUUUGGAAAGUAGAAGUCUUAAGGAAAAGCCUGGAGAAUUCAUGCCACCAAUAAAGAUUGAUGAUUGAAAUAUACAUGAAGAGAAGAGAAGAAAAGGAAGAAGAUCACAACUCAAGAAAAUUCAUAGUCAAGUCUGUUUAUUUGUUUGUCUUUUUCUUUAUUACUGUUGUUAGAAGUUUGGAUCUAUAUUUCUUUCAUCGUCAUAUUGUAUUUUAAUGUAAAGAGUUAAUAAGAAAAUAUUUUGAUUAAUUUAUU